rnacentral:tRNA from 1 species
AGGGGUAUAGUGUCAAUGGUAGCACAUCGGUCUCCAAAACCGCCUGUGUGGGUUCGAAUCCUACUACCCCUG